GCCCAGCGCUUCCUGCGGGUUUAACCAUCUGUCAGCGUUAGAAAAGUGUAUUGUUUUGUUCCUCUCCCGUUUUAUCUGGACUUUCUGAAUUGACAAGCGUGAGAUGUGGAAAGACAAGGCAAAGGGCUGUUAAAGAACUGGUAUUUGGAGGAACGAUCUUUUCUUAAAGCACCUUCAUUUUGAUUCAGGAGGGCCAGCCAGCCAUGAAGACACAGACCUACACUUCAAUUCUCCAUGAUGUCUUUUCAAGCAACAGACUUUUAAGAAGCAUUAACCAUGUUCCAAGCAUUGGAGGUAGAGACAAGCAAGUUCCAGCCCUCAAGAAGAAUUUACCAGGGAAAUGGAGAAUCUGAGAACCCAGAAGUAUGAAGGCCUGUUCUUUGCAUAUUCAUUUAUGCCUGGUGACUCAGACAGAUAAAUACCUAGGAGUGGAAUUGCUGGAUCGUGUGGAAGCUCCAACUCUAGCAGGUUGAGGAAUCUACACAGAGGUUUCCAUAGUGAUUGGACCAGUUUGCACUCCUGAUGAGACUCAAGAAAAACAAAGAAAAUAAUCUAGUCAAAAAAUGGGCAGAAGAGCUAAAAAGAAACUUCUCCAAAGAAGAAAUGCAAAUGGCCAACAGGCAUAUGAAAAAAUGUACAACAUCACUUGUAAUCAGGGAAAUGCAAAUCAAAACUACCAUGAGAUACCAUCUUACACCAGUGAGAAUGGCACAUAUUAAAAAAAACUAGCAACAACAAAUGUUGGCA